rnacentral:rRNA from 1 species
UCGAUUGUUUGAUCAUGGCUCAGGACGAACGCUGGCGGCGUGCUUAACACAUGCAAGUGGAGCGACGAACCAGGCUUCGGCCUGGGGCAAAGCCGCGAACGGGUGAGUAACACGUGGGUAACCUGCCCUGAUGAUCGGGACAACCCGGGGAAACCCGGGCUAAUACCGAAUGUGCCCGCGAGCCACAAGGCUCGCGCGGAAAGGAAGCUUUGGCCUCCGCAUCGGGAUGGGCCCGCGGCCCAUUAGCUUGUUGGUGGGGUAAUGGCCUACCAAGGCAGCAAUGGGUAGCUGGUCUGAGAGGACGAUCAGCCACACUGGGACUGAGACACGGCCCAGACUCCUACGGGAGGCAGCAGUGGGGAAUCUUGCGCAAUGCGCGAAAGCGUGACGCAGCAACGCCGCGUGGGGGAAGACGGCCUUCGGGUUGUAAACCCCUUUCAGUUGGGACGAAGCUUCGUCGGUGAAUAGCCGGCUGGAGUGACGGUACCUUCAGAAGAAGCCCCGGCUAACUACGUGCCAGCAGCCGCGGUAAUACGUAGGGGGCAAGCGUUGUCCGGAAUCAUUGGGCGUAAAGAGCGUGUAGGCGGCCCGAUAAGUCCGCCGUGAAAGUCCAGGGCUCAACCCUGGAAUGCCGGUGGAUACUGUCGGGCUAGAGUCCGGAAGGGGCGAGUG